rnacentral:rRNA from 1 species
GACGAACGCUGGCGGCGUGCUUAACACAUGCAAGUCGAGCGGAGCGGCGGACGGGUGAGUAACGCGUGAGUAACUGACCCCCUCUAUGGGAUAACAGUUGGAAACGGAAUCUAAUACCGGAUAGUGGGGGAUGGCUCGCGUCAUAUCGGCGUGUUGGUGGGGUAGUGGCCGACCACGGCGACGACGGGGUGCCGGCCUGGGAGGGCGACAGGCCACCUUGCGCGGAGAGACGGGCCAAGCGCACACGUGGGGCAGCAGUGGGGAAUAUUGCACAAUGGGGGAAACCCUGAUGAAGAAACGCCGGGUGCGUGAUGACGGCUUUCGGGUGGUAAACCGCUUUCAGCUAUUACUCGGUAGUGGCAGAAGAAGCACCGGCUAACUACGUGCCAGCAGCCGCGGUAAUUC